UACGUAGGGGGCAAGCGUUGUCCGGAUUUAUUGGGCGUAAAGAGCGUGUAGGCGGCUUUACAGGUCCGUUGUGAAAACUCGAGGCUCAACCUCGAGACGCCGGUGGAAACCGUAAGGCUAGAGUCCGGAAGAGGAGAGUGGAAUUCCUGGUGUAGCGGUGAAAUGCGCAGAUAUCAGGAGGAACACCCGUGGCGAAAGCGGCUCUCUGGGACGGUACUGACGCUGAGGAGAGAAAGCGUGGGGAGCGAACAGG
rnacentral:rRNA from 1 species